UUGUUAAGCUUCAGGAGCACAUGUACUAAAAUUGGAAUGAUACAGAAGAUUAGCAUGACCCCUGUGCAAGGAUGAUAUGCAAAUUCGUGAAGCGUUUCAUAUUUUU